rfam:Salmo salar isolate Sally breed double haploid chromosome ssa05, whole genome shotgun sequence.
UCUUUGCUUUACUGCAAGUCGCUCUGGAUAAGAGCAUCUGCUAAAUGACAAAAA